UACGUAGGGGGCAAGCGUUGUCCGGAUUUAUUGGGCGUAAAGAGCGUGUAGGCGGCCAGGUAGGUCUGCUGUGAAAACUCGAGGCUCAACCUCGAGACGUCGGCGGAAACCAUCUGGCUAGAGUCCGGAAGAGGAGAGUGGAAUUCCUGGUGUAGCGGUGAAAUGCGUAGAUAUCUGGAGGAACACCGGUGGCGAAGGCGGCAUCCUGGACCAACACUGACGCUGAGUGAGCGAAAGCCAGGGGAGCAAACGGG
rnacentral:rRNA from 1 species